rnacentral:rRNA from 1 species
UACAGAGGAGCCGAGCGUUGUCCGGAUUGACUGGGCGUAAAGCGCACGCAGGCGGGGGUGCGCGUGGGGUGUGAAAUCUGGCCGCUUAACGGCCAGGCGCCAUCCCAUACGGGCACGCCUGGAGCCUUGCAGAGGUCGGUGGAAUUGCCGGUGUAGUGGUGAAAUGCGUAGAGAUCGGCAGGAACACCCAGGGGGAAACCAGCCGA